GGCCGGUUAACUCAGUUGGUUAGAGCAUGGUUGCUGGUAACACCAAGGUCCCAGGUUCAAUCCCUGUACUGGCCA